GGAAAAUUAGUUUAUUAUUAAAAUAUUAAUCUGUCAGAUUAAUGAAACUUUUAGUAUUUUUCU
rnacentral:tRNA from 1 species